CAUUCGAGUGGCGGACGGGUGAGUAACGCGUGGGUAACCUGCCUUACACAGGGGGAUAACACCUGGAAACAGGUGCUAAUACCGCAUAAGCGCACAGGGCCGCAUGGCCCGGUGUGAAAAACUCCGGCGGUACAGGAUGGACCCGCGUCUGAUUAGCUGGUUGGCGGGGUAACGGCCCACCAAGGCGACGAUCAGUAGCCGGCCUGAGAGGGUGAACGGCCACAUUGGGACUGAGACACGGCCCAAACUCCUACGGGAGGCAGCAG
rnacentral:rRNA from 1 species